GACUUCACCUGUCUGAGACCCUUUCGUCACUUUUAAGACCUUCCUGGAUUUUUCUUUCCCACACCCAGGUGUGCAAUGGACCUUGAACACUGUCAGCUCCCUCAUGUAAAGACCAGAGAAGGUGAAUUGUGUAAGACCUGAUGUGAACUCAGGGGUAAGAUCUUCCUGUGCCCCCAAUCACUGACCCUCUUCAGGGUCCACGUGACUUCCAGGACGUCGUCAAUGCCCGCCCUGUGCUCUUGGUCUCCAGAAGAUAUUUAUAUUUAGACAUCAGAAGACGUUUAUAUUUAGUCACCAACAUCACUCAAGUGCCCACAAACUUUGGUUAAGAAGGAAAAACAAGUUAAUUUGCUGGAACGGACGACUGACCUGCAGAUCUGGUGUGGGCUUGUCUCGUUUCGUGGGCUAUAUUUUUGUUGUUGUUUCUCUUCACUGGUGUACACCCUCUGCUUGAGCAAUCUCACGUGUUCUCAUGGCUUCCGUAUCGCCAUCUGUCCUCUCAUAUCCCCUCCCUGGACUGUCCUUCUAAACUCCAGGCUUGUGGUUACAGCUUCCCGUUUGACAUCUGUCCCCAAAUCUGUCACCGUCGUCUCAAAGGCGCUGUGUCUCAGCUUGAAUAUUUGAACUCUGCUGCUCGGUUCUCUCAACGCCCAGAAUGUGACCCUGUAAUUAGUGGCAAUUUCAUUUUCAUUUUGUGUUUAUACAACGUCUAACAGAUUCCCAAGCUGGCCUCUAACAGAAUGACCUUGAACUCCAGAUUCUCCCAGUGCAGCCGCCUUCCUACCACUAAGAUUACAGUUCGUCAUCAAGCCACCUCAGCAAGAAUGGAAGACCUUUUGCUGCUUCUCAUGACUGUGCCUUCACCCUAAGCCAACCCUGUUUCUUCCUAAGGCUAUGAGAA